UACGAAGGGUGCAAGCGUUACUCGGAAUUACUGGGCGUAAAGCGUGCGUAGGUGGUCGUUUAAGUCUGUUGUGAAAGCCCUGGGCUCAACCUGGGAACUGCAGUGGAAACUGGACGACUAGAGUGUGGUAGAGGGUAGCGGAAUUCCCGGUGUAGCAGUGAAAUGCGUAGAGAUCGGGAGGAACAUCCAUGGCGAAGGCAGCUACCUGGACCAACACUGACACUGAGGCACGAAAGCGUGGGGAGCAAACAGG
rnacentral:rRNA from 1 species